ACAGUAGCUUCUUCUCUCGGGCCAGCAGGAAGCCUGAUUAAUGCCGCUUAAUACGACACUUCCCAUAUUUAUUUGGCCACAAAACUCCUUUUUCCCCAUAACUCCUAUUAAUAUCACAGGAAACAGUUUGAGAUCAGAAAAGCCUUCACAAAGGCAAUUUUUAAAGACUGAGUUAUAAGGCUCAAAAUAAAUGAGGAAUUCUAGAAAAGGAAGGGAGGAGGGAGAAGGACACUGGUUUGGGGUCUGGAGGGCUUUAAGAUGAGGGCGAAACAAGGACCACCCAUGAUUCCAAAGAAUAUCCGGAACUUGCUUGUUGUCUGUUGGUGCCUUUCUUUCAGCUCAUUCCUAGAGGGCGGACAGAGGCAGGAGUUGCUGUGUUGCUGGCCAGUGGCUCCUGACCAUAGGAAGGGGACUGUGGGUGUGAGAAGUAAAGCAGAGCAGGCCCCUGCCUCUGUUCUCCCCUUCCCCCUGGUAUUGGCUCACCGUGACAAAUCUUUCCCUAGGAAGGGCAGAAAAUGAAUUAUCCUGUUAAAUCAAUUCAGCAGAUAACCCACCUCUGUGCAGGCCUUGUGCUGGGACCACACAGAUGCAUAAGACACGUACAGCUUAGAGCCUAGUCAUGAAAUGGGAAAUAAACAGCCCCAUCCUCAAGGUCUGAACAGGGGAUUGGGGAGCACAGAGAAGGGCCCCACCCCGACCAGCUGUCAAGAGAACUAUCCAUACAUUCUAAUUCCUCCAAGGUUGAGGGCUAAGGUGUAGGAAGAGGAGAGAGGUUCCAAGCAGAAGGAAUUGCAGAAGCAAAGGCACAGAGGCAUCCGGGACCUGCGAGCAGCUAUGGCUGGAGCCGCGUGUCGCAGGAUGGAGAGCGUGUGAACAGAGGGGACUGGAAGCGGAUCCUCCCAGGAAGCAGUUGCAGGCGGUCAUGCUACAUUUGCAGGGAGACGGGAGGUUGUGAAGAACAAUAACCAGAAGAGAGUUUGCGUCUUCAUCAGAAAGCACCUGGGGCAGGUAGAGUUGGUGCUAGCUUCUCCAUCCAUCCCUGACACCCCAGCCCCAUUCAUCAUUCAGCAGAAGACAGGCUGGGCUGGCCCAACUUGGUCCUGUACCCCCACCACCCCAGAACCCCACUGGUCCAUAGUGAGGAUCCCUUCUCUUUGACUCUCCUCCUUCUCUGUGACUCGCCUAAGCCUGAUCCUACACCUUCUCUCCCAGCCACUGCCUCAGCUUCCUCCACCCCCAGCUUGGGACGAGCCACCUCCCUGGCUGGGUAGCAUGGGACAAGCCAUCUCCCUGCAGAGGCAGAGAACCAGUGACACUACACGCAAACCAAGGCCAUGCUGCAAACAGAACACCAAGGCACCCUCGUCUUAGGAUGCAUUAUAUUCGGGGUAGAUGUUGAAUUCUAGUAACACAUUCCCUGGGGUGUUUUCAAAUCCAGACACACUGGAGCCUUGUUCCAGCCUCACUGUGGGCGAAGGCCCCGGGCUCACCUCCAGCCUCAGGCUGGCUCUGGCUGCUGCCCCUGUUCCAUCCUGGCAAGCGGAACUGAACAGGCCCGACUCCACAGCCCCCGGUGCUGCCAGCUGCAAGCUCUGCUGACUCCAACCUCAGGCCCCUGCGUGCCUGCUUCUAAAUCCACACGUUCCUGCUCCUUCCUGCCCCUGCUGCCCUCUCAGAAUGCCACUUCUUUCUGCCAAGACCUCAGGCAUUGCUAUGGCCCAGCCCCAUCUUUAUUGAUGUCGGGGCUCUGUCCCCUUGCAGAGCCCAUCCCAUUGCCACCCACAUCUGGGACAGCAAAAGACUUCUCAGUUUCCUCCAGAGUUCAGUUUCUUCCAAAAAGCUCGGCACAUCUUAGCUGCCAGUGUGAACUGUGAGCUCCCAGAGAUGCCCGUGGCACUUUCCAACAUUCGUCACUUUUGACACAUCUAAAAUAUCCUAGCUCCCAGAGCUGCGUGAGCACCAGCCCAGAUGGACCGGCUGCUGGGGAAGCAUCAGUCUCUCCAGGGCCUCUGUGAAGCCCUGGGGCAGUAGGGGGAUGUCUGACAAAGCUUCCUAACUGAGGAGCCCCACUUCCUCUCGCUCUGGGCACCCCUGCCAAAUGAGCGGGCACCUCUAUGUUCCAGCAGCCCUCGCUGCCCAGCUUCUGAGCUGCAAGCCAGCUUCCUUCCACAGAAUUCUCUGCACCUUGGCUUCCGGUGGCUCCAAGCACUUUGCCAUCUGCCGAGUCAGUUCUGCCAGAGAUGAAGCAGCUGAUGUGGGGAGUUCUCUGUGGGGGCCACCUUUCCUCUCUCAGGUCACCUUUACUCUCAGAAGGAAACUGACCCCCUGACCUAUUAAAUAGCUGAAAUCAA
rnacentral:lncRNA from 1 species